rnacentral:scaRNA from 1 species
UCACUUACCUGGACGGGGUCAAUGGACGAUCAAGAAGGUCCAUGGCCUAGGUUGGUGACCUCCAUUGCACUCAGGAGCAACAUAUCACGAGUGUAAACAACAGCUGCUUUUGAUAUCAACAUCAAUGUGAU